rnacentral:SRP_RNA from 1 species
GCUGGGCAUGGUGGCUCAUGCCUGUAAUCCCAGCACCUUGGGAGGCUGAGGCAGGAGGAUUGCUUGAGUCCAGGAGUUCGAGUCCGGCCUGGGCAACAAAGUGAGACCUUGUCUCUA